UGCUGAGCAGCUCACAGGUUUCCCAGAGGGGGUGGUCACAUAACCUCCACCUGACCAAUCAGCAUGUUCCAUCCUCCCUGGACACCUGUGAUUGACUCAGGGCUGGACAAAUGACUACUCAGGGCAUGUGCUGGAAUCCUGGGGAAUGGAGGUUUAUUUCCGUUAGGAGCAGGGGAUACCUAAGGUCAGCCUGUGGCAGUUGGAAGGAAGUGAGGUCAGCCUUUGGCGGUUGGAGGGAAGUGAGGUCAGCCUGCGGCAGUUGGAGGGAAGUGAGGUCAGCCUGUGGCGGUUGGAGGGAUGUGCCAUCAGCUUGUGGCAGUUGGUGGCCUUGUUCCAUAAAGGCAGAGCUGCUUGGGUGAGGAUGACAUCAGUAAGCAGAGCUGAGAGGUGGGGAAAGACAAUUCCUACUGACGUCCCUGAGAUCCAGCCUCCCAUGGUGCCACAGGAGGAACCCAGUGGACAAUGAAUUGACAGCUCAGCACAGGAAGGCAGGCUGUGUGCUGCUGAGAAUAGAGACUCGCUGCUUCACUCCGUCUGCGCGCUGGGUCUGGAGUCCACCCAGUAUACAGCAGGGCCCCAGAACCUGCACUGCAGGUGCGGACGUCGAGGCCAUGGACAAGAACGUUCUAGGCGGUGAUGAACCCUCUGGGAGGCAGCCCGUGACAUCUUGUCCAGCGGAAGGAGACUGUGUCCCACCCUGCUCAUGGAUGCCCUGCUCUUUAGUACAAAAUCCACACCCUCCCUGUGGGACCAUGAUGGACAAAUAGAAUGACCAGAGGCAGCCGCGGCCCAGCCAGCCCCAGCCCACACCUCACAGAAGAGGAGACAGUCUGUGAGCACAGUGUUCCGUCAUCAGAGUCAACUACUUUCCAGCCCUGAGGUGGGGAAGUUUCAGUUUGGAGACACAGAGCACAGAGGACCGGUGUGGAUGGUCCUGGAAGCAAGGGGGCCGGCCCAGCCCCUUCUCCCCAGCCUGGCUGCUGCCCUCUGUCCUGUGUGCGCCUGGCACUCCCGCUUCCUCCUGCCGGGUUGCCUGCCGUCCAGUCCCUGUGGUCACACCCGCACAUCAGGACAACUCCCCCACCACGUGGAAGGGGCGAGUCAGGAAACUCAGCAGCACAGGGACCUGAUCACACCACCCACAGGCCUUCACGGGACUUUAUCCUAUUUAUGGGCAUCUCGGUCAUGAUUAACACAGGCCCCAGGGACCAAAAGUUCCCCUCAGUGCUUCUGAAGAUGCUGGGUAAUGUUAGUGCAGGGAGGUUAUACACACUUUCUGCAUCUCGGCCCUGCAGCACAGCAAUUGCUGUUGGUGGAAGUCAUCAUCCUAAUUCUCUCAGUCGUCUUUGCAAUUAGUUCUCAUUUACUUCUAGUACCACAUGACUGCACGCUUCUUAGACUGGAAAAUACACAGCCUGAAUUCUGUGCAGGGAGGAUGCAAAAGUGGAGCAUCAAGUUUAUCAACAGGAAUUGGAAGAAGCAAUGAGUUGACAAGAACUCUCCCCCUCCCCCUCUCACGUGCAGGACAGAAGAGUCGGGUAGGGAGACACGCCCAGGAGAGGCAGUCCAGUCUCUGCGGUUUCAGGUGAGAGCCGAGGGGUGGGCCUGCAGCCCGGCGGGCCCUCUUCUGGUCGUCCAGGCCGCUGCAGACUGUCCUCUGACCUGGCCAGGGUUUUGGAUACGAUGCUUCUGAAGGCCAUGGAGGUGUGGGAUACCCUCCUGAUUCGAGUCUUGUCAGAGGAUUCGACCCCCUGACCACUGCCAGGAAGUGCAUCCUGACGUUUCAUCUUGGGUCAUCCAUGGACUUUACCUGGGCUCCGUUUGUUACGCCGCCUCUUGCUGGGCAGACUAUUAUACAUCUGCAUAUUUUCAGGCUAACCCUGCUCUUUCUGGCUGUGGCCAGAGGAAAGUGUCUGGGGACAGACUCUCAGGCUGGCCAGCAUUGGAGGAGCUCCUGGUGUUGGACACACCCAGGGGCAGGUGCUUCCCUCUGGGACUUCAGUCCUGCUGCUGGUGCUGCUGAUGGAGGGAAGGCCUCAGGGCCACAUGGGGCGCUGGACUGGGGAUGGCAGGCUUCUGCUCCAGGCUGGGUGGAGACCGGCAGGCUCCCUGGUCUUCUGCCCUGACUCCUGGGCCUCCUGCAGUUGUACCUUUUCUCCCUGCUUGAGCCACGUGGUAUGAGUGUGGACACCUCAGGCCUUGGAGAAGGCUCAACUUAUGGCUGCUGAGGUCAGUGGAAGGGGGGAGCCUCGCAGUGAUGGAGCAGCCCUCCACCUAGUGUUCCCCUGAGCUCACAGUGCAGUGCCUGCUGCCUGUUCCCUGAGUCAUGGAUCAGGUCCCACCCCGACACCAGAGUCCUUACCACUGUCACCCCUCGGUCCUUGUCACAGGGUGGCACACAGAAUGGCCUGAGUGGCUCCUUCUGGCCCAGGUUCACCCAUGGAUGCCCCAUCAGUCAUUUAAGGUGCUUUUGUCACUGGGGUUGAGGACCAUAUUUUUUAGCAAAUUCCUUCUCUGAUGACCGACACAGGGGAAUGGGGUGUUGCCCUAUGAGGAUUCACAGCCACAGCUCUGAGAAGUCCUGUCCCCUAAAGGGCAGGGUCCCAGUCACCACGGAGUAGAGAACUACUCCCAGACUCCACACAUCCACCGCAGGGCAGUCAGAGCCCUGUCCCAGCAAGAAUUCUUAGGCAGCAUAACUGCAGCUGCCAUAGAAAAUGUUGAGCUUCCCAUUCUCAUUACACUCAUUGCUGAGGCCCAAAGCCUGUAAUUUUCACAUACUACUUGGAGUCAAGGAGGAUAUUGCCUGAUUUCAGGUCCCAGUGCAGGACGCACCUCUGGUGGCAGUGCUGCAGGGCGGAGACCAGCUGUCCGAGCGGGCCUCGGGUGUCAGCCUCUGGUCAUUUGGUCCAUGUCUCAUGGUCCUCCAAAUGGCUGCACGUGUCCCCCUCACUGAGGCCCUCCAUCUCCAGGAACAAGGUGGUCUCUGUGUCAAUCACUUCUAGUAGGUUAACAAUAUUUUCAUGGUUCAGAGCUUUCAUACUAUUCACUUCCCGGAAGAGUCCUGGAGGCUGGAGGAGCUCUGCUGACUCUUCCUAAUGACCUUUAUGACCAACUCUGUCCCAGUCAGAACGUACUGAGCCCGCUUCAGCAAAUCAGCCUUUACCAAUAAUAUAAAGAAUCGCAGUUCUCAAUAGAAGCCUUGUCCCCUGAGAUGGCUGUGAGCCCCAGCAUCAUGGUGAUCUACUGAUUACACUGACUGCCAGCACUAACUAGCAAUGCUAACUGUACUAACUAUGCUAACUAUACUCCCACAGCAGGGAGUCCUCCAGGUUGUAAUGAAAAACCCUGGACGAACUGUUAUGAAUUCAUAUUUGGUAAAAGUAGAUAGGCAGGCAGUUAGAAAAGCUAGCCUUGGGACUUCCUUGGUGAUCCAGUGAUUAAGAAUCUCUGCUGCUAAUGCAGGAGGACUAGGUUUAAACUGGUCCAAUCCCUGAUCAGGGAACUAGAUCCCACAUGCCACAACUAAGACCCAGUGCAGUCAAACUAAAACAAAAAAAGCUAGUCCUAUUUUAACUUUGGUUUGUAGCUCCACUUUUUGUUUUCUCUUUGACGAGAUUAAUAGCUUAAAAUUUUGUCUGCUUUUGGACAUGAUCUAAAAAGAUUUAAUUUUGUAACAUAAGUAACUGAAAGGGGCAGGAGUCAGAGCUGUACAGGAACAGGUAUUUUAUGUUACUGAAAUUAAACUGGCUUAAAUUGAAUUAGAGUGUUGUAAUUUUAAGAUGUUAUUUGUAAUCACACAGUAAUCACAAAGAAAAUAGUUACAGAAUAUCCACAAAAGGAAACGAGAAGGGAAUUGCUUCACUACAAAAAAAUAACAAUGCAAAAGAAGGUGAUCUUGAAGGACACGAGGGACAAAAAAUUCGUAAGGUAUACAGAAAAAGAGCCGGAUGACAAUUGCUGAUUACUCCUUCAGACAGUUACUCCUUCAGUAUCAGUAAUUAUAUGUAAAUAGAUUAAACUCUCCACUUAAAAGAUUGGCAGAAAGGAUAAAAAUAUAUGAUGCAACUAUUUGCUAUCCAUAGGAGACUAACUUUAGAUCCAAAGACAGUAAAAAAAGUUGAAUAUGAAAGGAUAGAAAAAGGUGUGCUGUGCUCUGUCACUUCAGUCAUGACUCUUUGCGAUCCUAUGGAGUGUAGACUGCCAGGCUCCUCUGUCCGUGGGAUUCUCCAGGCAAGACUACUGGAGUGGCUUGCCGUGCCCUCCUCCAGGAGAUCUUCCUGACCCAGGGACUGAACCUACAUCGCUUAUGUUUCCUGCUUUGGCAGGUGGGUUCUUUACUACUAACGCCACCUGGGAAGGGAUGGUCCAUGAAAACAGUAACCAAAAGAGAGCAGCUGUGCUGCACUAAUAUCAGACAACAUGGUCUUUAGAUCAGAAAAGUUACAAGAGACAAGGAUUUUAUCUUCUUCGGCAAGAAGAUAAAAUCACAACCAUUUACACACCCAGUGACACCAUCAAAAUACGUGAAUUAGAAAUGGAUAGAACUGAGGGGAGACAUAGUUCUACACAAUAGUUGGAACCUCCAAUACCCUACUCUCAGUGAUGGAUAAACAGCCAGACAAGAUGAAUGCGUAGGUAGAGAAUGUAAAUAGCACAAUCAGCCAAUUAGGUCUAACAGACAAACACUUCUCAAGGGCACGUGGGGCCUUCUCCAGGACAGACCAUAGAAUAGGCCACAAUUAAGUCUCAGUAGAUUUCACAAGGUAAAUCUCAUAAAAAGUAUCUUCUCUAACCAUAGUGGCAUAAAGUUAGAAAUCAGUAACAGAAGGAAAAGUAGAAAUUUCACAAAUUUGUAAAAAUUUAUAAGAACCAUUGUGGCAAAGAAGAAAGCACAAGGGAAAUCAGAAAAUACCUAGAGAUGAAGGGAAGGGAAACACUAACUUGUGAGAAACAGGAAAGCAGUGCUAAGGGGAAAUGUAGAGCUUUAAACACAUAAAAAUCUCAGUAAUUUCAUGCAAUUAAGGGAACUAGAAAAAGAACAAACUAGGGCGGUCCUAAGAUGGUGGAGGAAUAGGACGGGAGACCACUUUCUCCCCCACAAAUUCAUCAAAAGAACAUUUGAACGCUGAGUAAAUUCCACAAAACAACUUCUGAAUGCCAGCCGAGGACAUCAGGCACCCAGAAAAGCAGCCCCUAUUCUUCAAAAGGAGGUAGGAAAAAAUAUAAAAGACAAAAAGAGGGACAAAAGAGGUAGGGACGGAGCUCUGUCCCAGGAAGAGAGUCUUAAAAAAAGAGAAAACUUUCCAAACACCAGGAAACAUUCUCACUGCCGAGUCUGUGGUGAGCCUUGGAAUCACAGAGGGCAACAUAAUCGGGAGGAAAAAUAAAUAAUUAAAACCCAUAGAUGACGUGCCCAAUGGUAACUCCCCCAGUGGAGAAGCAGCACAGAUGCCCGCAUCCGCCACCUACAAGCAGGGGCUGGGCAGGGAGGCUCGGGCUGCAUUGCUUAGUGUAAGGGCCGGGCCUGAAUGCCCUGAGGGCAAUCUGCGGGAACUAACUUGGGCUAGCAAACCAGACUGUGGGAUAGCUACCACACGAAAAGCCUUAACCUAAGACACUGUCAGGCCCGCUCACAGAACAAAGGACUAAGCAGAGCUAACCAGCUGUGGACAGGUCCAUCCCCCACUGGAGACAGGCAGGCGAGGGCAGCCACCAAACUGCAAGCAGGCUUCAUUGCUAACCAAGACUUCUUGGGUUUCUGGACUGUUGGCUGCCUGAGAAGGUGCACCAGUUGUACACCCAGAAAACUGAGCGGCAGGGAUGGGGGAGGUGAUAAGUCAUAGCAACUGCGCUCUCCAAACACCUGGUCACCUGAGCUGCUCGGAUCUGAGAAGGGCACAAAACGCAGGCCCAGUGGAGUCUGCACCUCUGAGGACUACCCGAGUACCUGAACCUGAGCGGUUAGACCUGGGAAGUGCAUACAACCCAGGGCUGGCCUCAGACCCCAGUAGAGCAACCUAGAGCCUAAGCAGUGUAGACAGGGAAAGCACACACGCCGUGAUCAGGGGCAAACCCAGUGUGGCAGAGACACUGAGAACACACACCAGUGUUAUUUGUUUGCAGCGUCCCUGCCUCCCCACAGCACAAAUGAACAAGUGAGCCUAAAGUGUCCACCACUGCCCCCUUGUGUCAGGGUGGAAAUCAGACACUGAAGAGACCGGCAAACAGAAGAUGCUAAAACAGAGGGAACCUCCUUGGAAGUGACAGGUGCAAUAGAUUAAAAGCCUGUCGUUAGUACCCGCUACCUAGGAAGGGGCCUAUAGAUCUUGAGAAAUAUAAGCCGG
ensembl:lncRNA